AGUGAACGCUGGCGGUAGGCCUAGCACAUGCAAGUCGAACGGCAGCACAGGAGAGCUUGCUCUCUGGGUGGCGAGUGGCGGACGGGUGAGGAAUACAUCGGAAUCUACUCUGUCGUGGGGGAUAACGUAGGGAAACUUACGCUAAUACCGCAUACGACCUACGGGUGAAAGCAGGGGACCUUCGGGCCUUGCGCGAUUGAAUGAGCCGAUGUCGGAUUAGCUAGUUGGCGGGGUAAAGGCACACCAAGGCGACGAUCCGUAGCUGGUCUGAGAGGAUGAUCAGCCACAAUGGAACUGAGACACGGUCCAGACUCCUACGGGAGGCAGCAGUGGGGAAUAUUGGACAAUGGGCGCAAGCCUGAUCCAGCCAUACCGCGUGGGUGAAGAAGGCCUUCGGGUUGUAAAGCCCUUUUGUUGGGAAAGAAAUCCAGCUGGCUAAUACCCGGUUGGGAUGACGGUACCCAAAGAAUAAGCACCGGCUAACUUCGUGCCAGCAGCCGCAGUAA
rnacentral:rRNA from 1 species